rnacentral:sRNA from 1 species
GUACAAUAGAACCGGCGCUUCAAGGGUGGCCGCGGCUGAUCCCCUUUGAAAGGGGGUGAUGCCAUGACAGUAUAUGAAGCAUUGUCCCUGAUGAUCGCAUUCGGGAUUUUGAUUGCUACAAAACUGUCUCAGAAUAAAAAGAAGUAGGUCACCCUUGAACUUUUUGGGGAAGUCCGGGUGACCUUGCUUCUACCUGCUCCACAAUUGAGCCGUGGCCCUUUGAGGGCGACUAUUGUACCUGACCGUAUGUUACCAGCACCUG